rnacentral:lncRNA from 1 species
GCUUCUCACAGGCUGAGUCUCUGUGCAGCACGGCGCCCCACCGUGGGCUGUGCGUGGGCUGUGCGUUCCUGGAGCUCCUGGGUGAGUAUGGCCCGUUUGCCCACUGUUCUGUAACAUUAGACAAAUGCAAUCAUACGCCAGGAAACAGGAUCCAGAGUCCAAGUUAUUUUGGGAUAUGCAGGAGCCUGUGGGAAAAUGCUGGAACAUAUCUGAGUCACUUCGGCAAAUACCUUUCUUUCCGUGUUCCAGCAUGUUUUGUGUUUCCAGGCGGCACAAAAGGGCGCCAGCGGGCGCACACAUGCCCCUGUUGGACCUGCCCUUCCGGAGCAGCACUCCCUGGAUCGCCCCUGGUGUGCCGCCUCCCCUGAGCUCUGAAAAAACCUGGCCGGGAUCCCUAAGGCCUCCGCAGAGGGCCGCGUUCCCGACUCCGAGUGCAAAGACUUCCUGAAACGCACGGAUACCCCCAGCACGUGGAUCCAGAUACCCUGCCUCAGCCGUACCCUGGGCAGGACCCGGCAUGGGAUCCUCACUAAGUCUCAGCCUUGUGGCAACCGGUUGGUAGCAGGGAAAGCCCCCGUGCCUCCGCCUUGAGGCCCGGGAACAGAGG